UCCGAUAUGGUGUAGCGGUAACAUUACCGCCUCUCAGUGAAUUCCCUCCUUUGGCGUAGUCAGUAAACGGAGGCUCAAAGCACCUUGAACGCGGUAGCCCGGGGUUCGACCCCCCGUGUCGGAA